rnacentral:rRNA from 1 species
AGUCGAACGAUGAAGCCCUGCUUGCAGGGUGGAUUAGUGGCGCACGGGUGAGUAAAGAAUAGAUUACAUGCCUCAUAGACCGGGACAACAGUUGGAAACGACUGCUAAUACUGGAUAUUCCCUACGGGGGAAAGCUUUUGCGCUAUGAGAUUGGUCUAUUUCCCAUCAGCUAGUUGGUAAGGUAAUGGCUUACCAAGGCUAUGACGGGUAGCUGGUCUUAGAGGACGAUCAGCCACACUGGAACUGAGACACGGUCCAGACUCCUACGGGAGGCAGCAGUGGGGAAUAUUGCACAAUGGAGGAAACUCUGAUGCAGCAACGCCGCGUGGAGGAUGACGCAUUUCGGUGUGUAAACUCCUUUUAUAUGGGAAGAUAAUGACGGUACCAUAUGAAUAAGCACCGGCUAACUCCGUGCCAGCAGCCGCGGUAAUACGGAGGGUGCAAGCGUUACUCGGAAUCACUGGGCGUAAAGCGCGCGCAGGCGGUCUUUUAAGUUGGAUGUGAAAGCCUAUGGCUCAACCAUAGAACUGCAUCCAAAACUAUUAGACUAGAGUCUGGGAGGGGAAGAUGGAAUUAGUUGUGUAGGGGUAAAAUCCGUAGAGAUAACUAGGAAUACCAAAAGCGAAGGCGAUCUUCUGGAACAGUACUGACGCUGAGGCGCGAAAGCGUGGGGAGCAAACAGGAUUAGAUACCCUGGUAGUCCACGCCCUAAACGAUGAAUGUUAGUCGUCGGAGGCCUAGUGUCUUCGGUGAUGCAGCUAACGCAUUAAACAUUCCGCCUGGGGAGUACGGUCGCAAGAUUAAAACUCAAAGGAAUAGACGGGGACCCGCACAAGUGGUGGAGCAUGUGGUUUAAUUCGAAGAUACGCGAAGAACCUUACCUAGCCUUGACAUAUUUGAGAACACUUUAGAGAUAGAGUGGUGCCUUCGGGAGCUCAUAUACAGGUGCUGCACGGCUGUCGUCAGCUCGUGUCGUGAGAUGUUGGGUUAAGUCCCGCAACGAGCGCAACCCUCGUCACUAGUUACUAGCGGUUCGGCCGAGGACUCUAGUGAGACUGCCUUCGCAAGGAGGAGGAAGGUGAGGACGACGUCAAGUCAUCAUGGCCCUUACGGCUAGGGCAACACACGUGCUACAAUGGGCAGGACAAUGAGACGCGAUACCGCGAGGUGGAGCAAAUCUAUAAACCUGUUCUCAGUUCGGAUUGUAGUCUGCAACUCGACUACAUGAAGCUGGAAUCACUAGUAAUCGUAGAUCAGCUAUGCUACGGUGAAUACGUUCCCGGGUCUUGUACUCACCGCCCGUCACACCAUGGGAGUUGAUUUCACCCGAAGCGGGGAAGCUAA